GAAGUUACCAGACGACUUAAAUAUAAGUCGUGUGCAGAAGACUUACGCAGUCUUCCAGCCAUCCUCUGGCUGUCCGGAGGAAGUGGUACCACCUUGUUGGUGAUGUACGUGGUUUGUCCUCGGUGUUAGUUAAAUAAUGACUGCAAACAAAAAAGCAAUCAGUUUUGGACGACUAAAUCAAGCUAUUAUGGGUAAAGCAAUCACUUACGGAUCAGUUUUCAACCAAUCAGCGAGUUCCUUCAACUUAUCUUUGUUUACGGGCGGAAAUGGAUUAUAGGCUGCC
rnacentral:lncRNA from 1 species